rnacentral:rRNA from 1 species
UUAAACGCUGGCGGCAGGCCUAACACAUGCAAGUCGAGCGGUAGCACAGAGAGCUUGCUCUCGGGUGACGAGCGGCGGACGGGUGAGUAAUGUCUGGGAAACUGCCUGAUGGAGGGGGAUAACUACUGGAAACGGUAGCUAAUACCGCAUAACGUCGCAAGACCAAAGUGGGGGACCUUCGGGCCUCAUGCCAUCAGAUGUGCCCAGAUGGGAUUAGCUAGUAGGUGGGGUAACGGCUCACCUAGGCGACGAUCCCUAGCUGGUCUGAGAGGAUGACCAGCCACACUGGAACUGAGACACGGUCCAGACUCCUACGGGAGGCAGCAGUGGGGAAUAUUGCACAAUGGGCGCAAGCCUGAUGCAGCCAUGCCGCGUGUGUGAAGAAGGCCUUCGGGUUGUAAAGCACUUUCAGCGGGGAGGAAGGCGAUAAGGUUAAUAACCUUGUCGAUUGACGUUACCCGCAGAAGAAGCACCGGCUAACUCCGUGCCAGCAGCCGCGGUAAUACGGAGGGUGCAAGCGUUAAUCGGAAUUACUGGGCGUAAAGCGCACGCAGGCGGUCUGUCAAGUCGGAUGUGAAAUCCCCGGGCUCAACCUGGGAACUGCAUUCGAAACUGGCAGGCUAGAGUCUUGUAGAGGGGGGUAGAAUUCCAGGUGUAGCGGUGAAAUGCGUAGAGAUCUGGAGGAAUACCGGUGGCGAAGGCGGCCCCCUGGACAAAGACUGACGCUCAGGUGCGAAAGCGUGGGGAGCAAACAGGAUUAGAUACCCUGGUAGUCCACGCCGUAAACGAUGUCGAUUUGGAGGUUGUGCCCUUGAGGCGUGGCUUCCGGAGCUAACGCGUUAAAUCGACCGCCUGGGGAGUACGGCCGCAAGGUUAAAACUCAAAUGAAUUGACGGGGGCCCGCACAAGCGGUGGAGCAUGUGGUUUAAUUCGAUGCAACGCGAAGAACCUUACCUGGUCUUGACAUCCACAGAACUUUCCAGAGAUGGAUUGGUGCCUUCGGGAACUGUGAGACAGGUGCUGCAUGGCUGUCGUCAGCUCGUGUUGUGAAAUGUUGGGUUAAGUCCCGCAACGAGCGCAACCCUUAUCCUUUGUUGCCAGCGGUUCGGCCGGGAACUCAAAGGAGACUGCCAGUGAUAAACUGGAGGAAGGUGGGGAUGACGUCAAGUCAUCAUGGCCCUUACGACCAGGGCUACACACGUGCUACAAUGGCAUAUACAAAGAGAAGCGACCUCGCGAGAGCAAGCGGACCUCAUAAAGUAUGUCGUAGUCCGGAUUGGAGUCUGCAACUCGACUCCAUGAAGUCGGAAUCGCUAGUAAUCGUAGAUCAGAAUGCUACGGUGAAUACGUUCCCGGGCCUUGUACACACCGCCCGUCACACCAUGGGAGUGGGUUGCAAAAGAAGUAGGUAGCUUAACCUUCGGGAGGGCGCUUACCACUUUGUGAUUCAUGACUGGGGUG